AUGUGGAAUAGUAGGAAAUGAGAA
rnacentral:piRNA from 1 species